UACACCAGUGCAUCCUUCGCAGAAGUCUUUUACUGACCGCCACGCCCCAUCGUUGAAUAUCAGCUAAACGCUACGACUUAGCCUGUAAAAAGCCCAAGUCCGUCUCUACAUCUGGCACAUUUGAACGGGAUAUCAGAAAAACUGUUUAAGUGGACAGACAACCUGCUUAAUAAAGCACAGGUCAGAAAAUGACCACCUCUUUACAGGAAAGAGGCAUACUGCCAAGAAGGCCUAGGGGCUCUUCCUGUCACAUUGCAUGGGAGACUCUGCAGUCAUAAGGAUGAAGGGAUUGGAGGGCCAAUUAACACACACACACGUGUCCAAAAAGUGGGACAAUUUGAAGAGGAAAUAUAAGCUGAGAUUUUUUAUGUAAUAUGACCGCAGUGCAUCCAUUAGCAUUUGUAAUGCUGUAUUGUUGGACAUAAUACUUGUGGAGAAUAUGAAUCUUUUCAAGCAUUGUCUGACCCUUAUAUAGGUCUGGUCCCUGGCAUUCUUAAUUAUCUUAAUGGGUUGGCAGAACCCAGCAGCAACGAACACACCAUUUGAUGAAGCAGCUGAAUUGCUGAAAGGCAGUGAUUGAAUUGAAAACACCUACUCAUCACACUGACAUAUUAAAUCAUCAGGCAAGGCAAAAUACUUCUUGUCUUCUUGUUCUUUAAUUGCCACUGACAAGCAGUUAGUCUAUCAGUGUGGCAAAUUACGGCAAGUAACUCCAAUGUUAAAAACGUCAUGAAGGCAGGGACUGGGCUGUGUUGGUGUGAAUAUAAUAUAAUCCAAUCCAAUCCAUUUUAUUUAUACAGCACAUUUAAAAAACUAUGGUUUACAAAGUGCUGGACAACCAAUAAAACCUAAAAACACAUAGAACACAUAAAACAUAAGACCACACAGUUAACCUGGUUUUUGGAGCGACCAGCUGAAGUUGAUCAGUAGACCUAAGUGACCGUGAGGGGGUGUAAACUUGUAAGAGGUCUGAGCUGUAGCGAGGUACCAACCCCAUUCAGUUAACAGCUGGCUGCUGGCUUCUUUUUUUAACAAAUGGUUUUCAUUAUUACACUACAAAGGUAGGCUACUGAGGAGUAAAGUAUCACUUUUAUAGCUUUCCUGUUUUUGCUCAAGUUAUAUUUUUAAUAGCUAUGAAAAUUAAUUUUUUUCUUGAAAGCAUAACAGUUUUAGUUUUUGCAAACUCAAUUGUUCAUCGCCCGGCUGACGGUGAGUGUCCUGUUUAUUUCUCUUUUUGCUUGUGAUUCUG